CUUAGAUCCGAGGAUUUCCGAAUGGGGGAACCCAGCUGGAUUAAUAUCCGGUUAUCCUUAGCUGAAUACAUAGGCUAUGGAGGCGAACGAGGGGAACUGAAACAUCUCAGUACCCUUAGGAAUAGAAAUCAAUAGAGAUUUCCCUAGUAGCGGCGAGCGAACGGGAAAGAGCCUAAACCGUGUAUGUGUGAUAGCCCACAGGUGUUGCAUAUGCGGUGUUGCGGGUUUUUACUUGGUAGUGCUGUGGCACUGCCGGGGAGUUACAAAGUUAAUCUAUAAUCGAACCUUGUGGAAACUUGGGCCAUAGAAGGUGACAGCCCUGUAGAUGAAAUAGAUUAAUCUCCCUUGUAAAACACCCAAGUACUUCGGGACACGUGAAACCCUGAAGGAAUCCGGGAGGACCAUCUUCCAAGGCUAAAUACUACUUGACGACCGAUAGUGAACCAGUACCGUGAGGGAAAGGUGAAAAGUACCCCUGGCGGGGAGUGAAAUAGUACCUGAAACCGUGUGCUUACAAGCCGUGGGAGCACUAUUUAUAUAUGCUUGCAUGUAUGAAGUGUGACCGCGUGCCUUUUGCAUAAUGAGUCCGCGAGUUACUUUGUGUUGCAAGGUUAAGCCGUAAGGUGUAGCCGUAGCGAAAGCGAGUCUGAACAGGGCGUUUAGUAGCACUAAGUAGACCCGAAACCGAGUGAUCUAGCCAUGGCCAGGGUAAAAGUUCAGUAAAAUGAACCGGAGGCCCGAACCAGUGUAGGUUGAAAACUAUUUGGAUGAGCUGUGGCUAGGAGUGAAAGGCUAAUCAAACUCGGAGAUAGCUGGUUCUCCCCGAAAUAUAUUUAGGUAUAGCCUUACGUAAUAGCAAGUGGAGGUAGAGCACUGAAUGGGAUAGGGGUCUUACAGGAUUACCAAACCCAAUCAAACUCCGAAUGCCAUCUUGCCUUAUCGUAGGAGUCAGACGGCGGGAGAUAAGUUCCGUCGUCGAGAGGGAAACAACCCAGAUCACCAGCUAAGGUCCCUAAUAUUUGCUAAGUGGGAAAGGAAGUGAGAACGCCCAGACAGCCAGGAGGUUGGCUUAGAAGCAGCCACCCUUUAAAGAAAGCGUAACAGCUCACUGGUCGAGUGUUCUUGCGCCGAAAAUGUAACGGGGCUUAAGUAAAUAACCGAAGCUGUGACUUUGAUGCUUGCAUCAAGGGGUAGGGGAGCGUUCCAGAUCCUGUGAAGCCAGACCGUGAGGACUGGUGGAGGUACUGGAAGUGAUUAUGCGGACAUGAGUAGCGAUAAUGCGGGUGAGAAACCUGCACGCCGAAAGCCUAAGGGUUCCUGGGGAAGGUUAAUCCGCUCAGGGUUAGUCGGUCCCUAAGCCGAGGUCGAAGGGCGUAGGCGAUGGGAAACAGGUUAAUAUUCCUGUACCACCAUAGUGGCGUUUGAGCGAAGGGGUGACGUGGAAGGGUAGGCCAUCCAGGCGUUGGUUGUCCUGGUUUAAGCCUGUAGGUGGGGAAAGUAGGCAAAUCCGCUUUCCCAAUUGUAAACACCAAGAGGUGAUGAGGAGGAGCUUAGCUCCGUAAACUGGUUGAUCCCAUGCUACCAAGAAAAACCUCGUAGUGAGCUGUUGUGGUGACUGUACCGUAAACCAACACAGGUAGGCAAGGUGAGUAUCCAAAGGCGCUUGAGAGAACUCUCGUUAAGGAACUCUGCAAAAUGACUCCGUAACUUCGGGAUAAGGAGUGCCCCAUUAAGGUGAAGCGAUUCGCUCGUGGAGCUUGAAGGGGCCGCAGUAAAAUGGCGGUAGCGACUGUUUACUAAAAACAUAGGUCUCUGCUAAGUCGCAAGACGACGUAUAGGGACUGACGCCUGCCCGGUGCUGGAAGGUUAAGGGGAAGUGUUAUCCAUUAGGAGAAGCUCUGAACCGAAGCCCCAGUAAACGGCGGCCGUAACUAUAACGGUCCUAAGGUAGCGAAAUUCCUUGUCGGGUAAGUUCCGACCUGCACGAAUGGCGUAACGAUUUCCGCACUGUCUCGACGAGAGGCUCAGCGAAAUUACAAUAGCGGUGAAGAUGCCGUUUACCCGCGGUUAGACGGAAAGACCCCGUGAACCUUUACUAUAGCUUGACAGUGAGUUUUGGGAUGUUCUGUGUAGGAUAGGUGGGAGACUUUGAAGCCGGGUCGCUAGAUUCGGUGGAGUCAUCCUUGAAAUACCACCCUGAUCAUUCUGAGAUUCUAACCUAGGCCCGUUAUCCGGGUCGGGGACACUGUCUGGUGGGUAGUUUGACUGGGGCGGUCAGGUGGUUGUGGAAAUUCUUGAAGAUGUUCAAGCUGAUGACGAAGUAAUCUUUGCCUGUCAACAGCUUAAAGAUUCGGGUUUCAUCAUGGCCCUUGACGAUUUUGUAUAUAGUGAUCAUCUAAGACCGCUUAUUGACCUGGUCGACAUUAUAAAGGUCGAUUUUUUGCAAACAACAGGUGAUGAACGGAAAAAUGUUAUAGAGAAGGUCGACAAUCCAAAAAUUCAUUUUCUGGCAGAGAAGGUCGAAACGUUAGAGGACUAUCAGCAGGCUCUUGAUUUGGGAUAUGCGUACUUCCAGGGAUAUUUUUUCAGCAAACCGCAUAUUGUCCAUGGACGCGAUAUUCCACUCAAUAAGGUGAAUUUUAUGCGCCUGAUCCGUGAGGUAAACAGACCCGAACUGGGGUUUGAGAAACUUGAACAA
rnacentral:rRNA from 1 species